AUAAGCUCACGGCGGAGAAGAAGAAAAGGGAGGAAGCUGAGAAAGAAGUGGAGAACCUAAAGAGGCAGCUGGAGACCGAGCAGAUGGAAUUUGACCAGUAAAGGAAUUACAUCCCUCUCAGAAACACCUUAAGAUGUCACACUCGGAUUAUGGUACCCGUUGUACUCGCCCUGUCCUGGAGCUCUGCAGACAGACUGCAGGCGGCCCUCAUCGGGGACACUGGAAAGAUCCAACAUCUCUCAGUUUAUAGCCACUGAAAUAUAAUAAUGAUAGCCCAGCCUACACCAACAUGCAUCCUGAAGAGUAAAGAGUGCAGUGUUAAACAUCAGAGACAGCAGACUCAGAUCUUCCUGUGAACAUAAUAAAGUCGUAAAGAUGUGGUCACAUGACUUUACAAUCAGUAAAAAAACAAUGAACCCCUUUUCUUUAUGAAUAUUGAAUAUAACACAUUACAUUUUUAUUCUUAACAAUUCAAAACAUCUUCUGUUUCAA